rnacentral:rRNA from 1 species
CGGGCAGGCGGUCGUUCAAGUCGGACGUGAAAGCUCCUGGCUUAACCGGGAGAGGCCGUUCGAAACUGAGGGACUAGAGGGCAGUAGAGGGGCGUGGAAUUCCGGGUGGAGUGGUGAAAUGCGUAGAGAUCCGGAGGAACACCAGAGGCGAAGGCGGCGCCCUGGGCUGCACCUGACGCUGAGCCGCGAAAGCCAGGGUAGCGAACG